AGGGGUAUAGCUCAGUUGGUAGAGCGGCGGUCUCCAAAACCGCAGGUCGCGGGUUCGAGCCCUGCUGCCCCUG
rfam:Kaistia sp. SCN 65-12 ABS35_C0136, whole genome shotgun sequence.